UAGCUGCGCUGUGCGCUGCGCAGUUCAUGAGUUCACAUCAAAAUGGCGCUCGCUCACUCGCUGUGCGUAGAACGUAGUACUUGUGUAAACGUGUAAAUAAAUUGGAGAUAGCAUACAAGAAAACAGAAAGGGUUCGCGGUUCACCUUUUUUGUAACGGUUUCCUCGGCGUCCUUUACAAAGUCCAGUUGAUAUCGUGUCCUGUCCACGUCCAGGGUGGAUCAGACCUGAUCUACAAAAUCUUGGAGCAGCCGCUUUCGUCGUAUGCCAUUAAAAAAAUUAAAACAUGCCCGUUAUUAAAAUUUGGUCAGUAGACCAAACAAUCAAGAAAGCUGUUCCAAUAAUGGACCCAACUUUAAAAAAUAUCAUUGAAAAAGGUGAGUAAAUCUAAAUUAAUUUGACUUUUCGUAAUGAAAUAUUUUUUGUGUAAUUGUAGAAUGUAGUGUAUUGUAGAAUAGACUAUAAUUGGAUACCUACUGUUAAGCAUUAAUGUGCUGACUCAAACCACAUUUAUUUUGCAGUAUGAUGUCAAUUUAAAAAUUUGACGCUUGAAGUUGACAAGAUAGAGCUGAUGCUGAACCCUGGCUGUACCUAGUGGAACUCAGGUUUGGUGCAACAUAGGCCCACGCUAUUUUGAUCAUCCGUCACAUAGAGGGAGAGCAAUACCCAAGAUAUAAUUCAUAAUCCAUUUUCUUCCAGAUGAGGUACCAUCCUAAAUAUAGUAGUUCCAUUUACUAAUCUUAUUAACUUUUUCUUUUCCAGGAACCAUUAACCAGGGUUCAAGUUGCAGAGCUAUCCGAAAUAGCUGCGCCUAACAUUGUAUUUUUAGAUAAUGAAAAUAUAAUUAUAUUACUUGCUGGUAGAAAAAACGAUUGUUAGCGAAACAGAUUCUGCCUACGUCGUUACAACUAUUGAUGGCGGCUUACUGCAACUUGAAUAUGGAAUAUCCAGUGGACUGUCAAAACACAUUAGAAUUUAUACAAAGGUAUAUUUUUAUUAAAAUAAAUCCUAAAGAAGGAAGUCAUAAGUAAUAGUUUUUGAUUUUUAAAAAGCGUUUUUCAAUUAAAAGACAUGUCAAGAUCGCUUAACUUCUUGCAAGUUCUUUCUAAUGCUAAAAAAACUAACUAUAAUUAAUGUCAGUAACAAACAUUUUCAGACAAUUCGUUACUUGAAAUGGUAUAGGUUUCACGCAUUAGAUUCACAUAGGCCUUAUUAACCGAAACUUUUAUAAGACUAAUUCAUAAGAAGUACUUAUGUACAUAAGAUAUAAUUUAUAGUGUCGUAUAUGUCUUCUACUUUUUGUACUCUCUCACAGAAUAAAUAAUAAUAAUAUGCACGUAGACGUGUAUAUACGCGUGUGCUCUAUAAUUUGAGUGUGUGAAAUUCAAUAAAUUUAUUUCUUUGUAA